rnacentral:rRNA from 1 species
AGCAGCCGCGGUAAUUCCAGCUCCAAUAGCGUAUAUUAAAGUUGUUGCAGUUAAAAAGCUCGUAGUUGAAUUUCGGGAUCAAUGCGUCGGUCGUGCUUUCGGGUACGUACUGGUGUCAUUGGUUUCUCCUUUCUGACGAGCCGUGAUGUCAUUAAUCUGGUGUUACGGGUAGUUAGGACUGUUACUUUGAAAAAAUUAGAGUGUUUAAAGCAGGCAUUAGCUUGAAUACAUUAGCAUGGAAUAAUGAAAUAGGACGUUCGAUCCUAUUUUGUUGGUUUCCAGGAUCAACGUAAUGAUUAAUAGGGAUAGUUGGGGGCAUUAGUAUUCAAUUGUCAGAGGUGAAAUUCUUGGAUUUAUUGAAGACUAACUACUGCGAAAGCAUUUGCCAAGGAUGUUUUCAUUAAUCAAGAACGAAAGUUAGGGGAUCGAAGACGAUCAGAUACCGUCGUAGUCUUAACCAUAAACUAUGCCGACUAGGGAUCGGAUGAUGUUAAUUUUUUAAUGACUCAUUCGGCGCCUU